AACAGGAUUAGAUACCCUGGUAGUCCACGCCGUAAACGAUGUCGACUUGGAGGUUGUGCCCUUGAGGCGUGGCUUCCGGAGCUAACGCGUUAAGUCGACCGCCUGGGGAGUACGGCCGCAAGGUUAAAACUCAAAUGAAUUGACGGGGGCCCGCACAAGCGGUGGAGCAUGUGGUUUAAUUCGAUGCAACGCGAAGAACCUUACCUACUCUUGACAUCCAGAGAACUUAGCAGAGAUGCUUUGGUGCCUUCGGGAACUCUGAGACAGGUGCUGCAUGGCUGUCGUCAGCUCGUGUUGUGAAAUGUUGGGUUAAGUCCCGCAACGAGCGCAACCCUUAUCCUUUGUUGCCAGCGGUCCGGCCGGGAACUCAAAGGAGACUGCCAGUGAUAAACUGGAGGAAGGUGGGGAUGACGUCAAGUCAUCAUGGCCCUUACGAGUAGGGCUACACACGUGCUACAAUGGCAUAUACAAAGAGAAGCGACCUCGCGAGAGCAAGCGGACCUCAUAAAGUAUGUCGUAGUUCGGAUUGGAGUCUGCAACUCGACUCCAUGAAGUCGGAAUCGCUAGUAAUCGUGGAUCAGAAUGCCACGGUGAAUACGUUCCCGGGCCUUGUACACACCGCCCGUCACACCAUGGGAGUGGGUUGCAAAAGAAGUAGGUAGCUUAACCUUCGGGAGGGCGCUUACCACUUUGUGAUUCAUGACUGGGGUGAAGUCGUAACAAGGUAACC
rnacentral:rRNA from 1 species